GGAGAGCAUGACAGAACUUGAAGAUAGCAGAAGAAAGCUAGUUACUUUGAAAAUGCAGAAAGAUGUGGCAUGUGGGGGGCAGGAAACAAUUUCAAGUGCAGUUAAUGGGAGUAUGUCACCUGAGAAGCACACAGACCGAACAAAAGGUGUACGGGAACUGAAGGAGUCUAUAGAAGAGGCAAAGAUACUGAAAGAGGACCGCCUCUCUGAGCUUCACGAUGCCCAGGAAGACAAUCUACAUUUGUCAAAGCAGUUGCAAGAUCUUCAGAAUGAACUAAAGGAUGAUCGAUAUGUGCAUUCAUCUCGUGCUUAUACUUUAUGCAAUGAUCAGCUUCACCAUUGGAAUUCUGAGGCAGAACGAUACAAAGCUCUGGCAGACUCUCUGCAGGCUGACAGGUCUUUCAUCGGACGAAGAGAGAAAGAACUGGCUCUAAAAGCAGAGGCUGUGGAUGCAGCAAAGAAAGCAGUUGAUAACUCCGAGUCAAGAAUUGAGGAAUUGGAGCAUCGCAUGCACCGAUAUAUAAUUGAAAAGAAUGAGCUAGAAAUCAAAAUGGAAGAAGCUAUUCAAGAU
rnacentral:misc_RNA from 1 species